rnacentral:tRNA from 5 species
GGAGAGCAUCUGCCUUACAAGCAGAGGGUCGGCGGUUCGAACCCGUCAUUCUCCACCA